GAUGAACGCUAGCGGCAGGCUUAAUACAUGCAAGUCGAGGGGCAGCAUGGUGUAGCAAUACACUGAUGGCGACCGGCAAACGGGUGCGGAACACGUACAGAACCUUCCUUCGAGCGGGGAAUAGCCCAGAGAAAUUUGGCUUAAUACCCCAUAGUAUAUUGAAAAGGCAUUUGUUUAAUAUUAAAGAUUUAUCACUUGAAGAUGGCUGUACGGGUGAGUAGGGCGUUGGCGGGGUAACGGCCCACCAAGCCUGCGAUACGUACCUGGUGUUAGAGCACGACCAGUCACACGGGCACUGAGACACGGGCCCGCCUCCUACGGGAGGCAGCAGUAAGGAAUAUUGGUCAAUGGACGAAAGUCUGAACCAGCCAUGCCGCGUGGAGGAUGAAGGUCCUCUGGAUUGUAAACUUCUCUUAUAUGGGACGAAAAAAGGCUUUUCUAAGUCGUCUGACGGUACCUUAUGAAUAAGCACCGGCUAACUCCGUGCCAGCCGCCGCAGUAAGAC
rnacentral:rRNA from 1 species